rnacentral:lncRNA from 1 species
CCUACACACUGAUCUACCACGAUGUAGCCCCCACAGAGAGAGUCAGUCUUGCUAUUUUCAUAGGUGGGUAGCAAGUGUGCUUCUUAGGUUAUGAUAUCAUCAAGUCCUUAACAAAAAAACUGGCCAUAGCUAUUAAAUUAAUGGGAGGUAAUACCUCCCUUUCCAUCCUAAAAAAAAGGUCUUAGUUAUAUACACACAAGC